rnacentral:rRNA from 1 species
UACAGGGGGGGCAAGCGUUGUUCGGAAUUACUGGGCGUAAAGGGCUCGUAGGCGGCCGGCUAAGUCCGACGUGAAAUCCCCAGGCUUAACCUGGGAACUGCGUCGGAUACUGGCGGGCUUGAAUCCGGGAGAGGGAUGCGGGAUUCCAGGUGUAGCGGUGAAAUGCGUAGAUAUCUGGAGGAACACCGGUGGCGAAGGCGGCAUCCUGGACCGGCAUUGACGCUGAAUAGCGAAAGCGUGGGGAGCAAGCAGG